rnacentral:rRNA from 1 species
UACGAAGGGGGCGAGCGUUGUUCGGAUUUACUGGGCGUAAAGCGUGCGCAGGCGGUUUUGUAAGCCAGAUGUGAAAUCCCCGGGCUUAACCUGGGAAUGGCAUUUGGGACUGCAAGGCUUGAGUGCGGCAGAGGAGACUGGAAUUCCUGGUGUAGCAGUGAAAUGCGUAGAUAUCAGGAGGAACACCGAUGGCGAAGGCAGGUCUCUGGGCUGACACUGACGCUCAUGCACGAAAGCGUGGGGAGCAAACAGG